rnacentral:rRNA from 1 species
GAUGAACGCUGGCGGCGUGCCUAAUACAUGCAAGUCGAGCGAAUGGAUUAAGAGCGUGCUCUUAUGAAGUUAGCGGCGGACGGGUGAGUAACACGUGGGUAACCUGCCCAUAAGACUGGGAUAACUCCGGGAAACCGGGGCUAAUACCGGAUAACAUUUUGAACCGCAUGGUUCGAAAUUGAAAGGCGGCUUCGGCUGUCACUUAUGGAUGGACCCGCGUCGCAUUAGCUAGUUGGUGAGGUAACGGCUCACCAAAGCAACGAUGCGUAGCCGACCUGAGAGGGUGAUCGGCCACACUGGGACUGAGACACGGCCCAGACUCCGACGGGAGGCAGCAGUAGGGAAUCUUCCGCAAUGGACGAAAGUCUGACGGAGCAACGCCGCGUGAGUGAUGAAGGCUUUCGGGUCGUAAAACUCUGUUGUUAGGGAAGAGCAAGUGCUAGUUGAAUAAGCUGGCACCUUGACGGUACCUAACCAGAAAGCCACGGCUAACUACGUGCCAGCAGCCGCAGUAA